UAUGGAUUACUUUUUCUAGAGAAAUAAUAGCAUCGUCGAGCAAUAAUUAGUCAUAGAUCCUUAUCCAUGUGUAAUUUGGUAUAUUUGGAAUGCUCGGAACGAUAAACUCUUUCGAGGGAUAGAUAUGGAUCCUUUGGAGCUAGUCCGAUGCGGAAAGUGAAUGCCAAGCCUCGUAUAAUGCAAAUGAAUUGGUAACCCCCAUUCAACAAGAGCAAAAUAUUGAAGAAUUUAAAGUCAUAAGCUUGGAUAAUAUAUGUAUGGUGGAUGGUUCAUGGACUUCCACAACACAGUUCAAUGGAUGUGGUUGGGUUUGGAUGGAUAGCUUGGGAAAGAUUCAACUUAUGGGGACACGAAACUUAAGACGGUGAGAGACUUCUUUACAUUCAGAAGUAGAAGCACUGCGAUGGGCAAUGGAGAGUAUGCUUCAACAUUCGUCAUGUCAAAGCUUCGGGACGGAUUGCAAGGAUCUGAUCGCGAUGAUAACAGAGCAUCACUCUUGGCCAAGGUUUGCAACAGAGUUGGAGGAAAUAAAGACGCUGCUGAUAUAUAUUCCGCACUUCAAGAUAUCGCAUAUCCCGAGAGCGCAAAAUGGAAAUUUCUGACUCUCUAGCUAAGACUGCAAGAGCGCAAAAUGGAAUUUCUGACUCUUUAAGUAAGACCGCAAGAUAUUUUUAUCGUGAGCUUUGUUACAUUAGUUGUUCUAUUUCGGUCUGAUUACCCAUACCACCUUAAGUUUGAGUAAUAAAAAAGCCGUUUGUUGUCAAAAACAAAAAACAAAAAACUCAAACUCAAAAUUUAAUCUUGUUAAUAUUAAUAUAUAACUUAAAAAAAAACCUUAAAUCUUAAUUUCAAACAUAAACCAUACAUCUACUAAAUAUAAACUUCAAAUAUAAAUUUUAAAAAUUUAACCACAAAAUAUAAUCUACAAAUCUAAACUUUUCCAAUUUUAACCCAAACUUUAAAUGUAAACAUUAAAGUUUAUACAAAAGGUAUAAAACUUAAUCUUUUUUUUAAAUCAAACAAACUCAUAAGCACAACUUUUAAUCAUUAAAUUCAAAAUCUAAACAUAAUAAAGAAAAUAUAUGCAUAAUAAAUUAGAUAAAUUACAUAAAAAUUAAGCUAAACAUAAUAAAUAACAUCACCUUUUUCCUAUCAGUUGACACAUUAACAGUUUAACACUGUUGCACAAAAAAAAGAGAGUUUAACACUAGAAUUACAAUUUUAGGCCUUUGGUUAAAUUUGAUCCAAUGACCUACAUUUAUUCACUUGGGGUUUUUUCCAAUCGUCUCUGUCAACUGAAUUUGUUUUUCUUUUUUCAACUCACUUCACCUGUUAAUCUUCUUAACAUUUUUCUUCUUUAUCAUUUAUCUAUGUUUGUCACAUUUCCAUUCUCCCAAUCUUCUGAUAUUCGUCACGCUUGCCGUCCCACCACCACCACCACCACCACCACCACAGAAGGUGGAUGAGGCAAGGCCAGCAGUGGUCGGUGUGCUGGUGGUGUGGCGGAGUCAAGACCAGGCAUGGUGGCUGGAGGUGACAAGGCCGGGCAUGACAGCUGAUUAGAUUUUUUUUUUUAGGUUUAUUUUAUUUAGAUUUGGUUUAGUUAUCUAAACCGAGUAAACCAAUUUCAUUUUGUAAACCGAUUUUUAUUUUUAUUUUUAUUUACAAACCGAAUUAAUAUAUAAUUAAAAAAAAAAUGAUUUCGAUUA